GACGAACGCUGGCGGCGUGCCUAACACAUGCAAGUCGAACGAAACCUUCGGGUCUAUUGGCGCACGUGUGCGUGACACGUGGUAAGCUGCCCUUAGGUUCCGAAUCCCUCACCGUAGGGGGUGCUAAUAACGGUUGAUGUCUUCGGACAAAAGAUUUCUGGCUUUUGGAUGGGGCCGCGUUGGUUUAGCUGGUUGGUAGGGUAAAAGCCUACCAAGGCGACGUUGCAUAGCUGGUCUGUGAGCAUGACCAGCUACACUCGGAGUGAGACACGGCCCAGACUCCUACGGGAGGCAGCAGUGGGGAAUAUUGGAGAACGGGCGAAAGCCUGAGCCAGCCAUGCCGCGGGAGUGAUGAAGGCCGUAUGGUUGUAAAGCUCGUUUACCCGGGAGGAUAAGGACAGUACCUGGAGAAUAAGCCCCGGCUAACUCCGGG
rnacentral:rRNA from 1 species